rnacentral:rRNA from 1 species
AACGAACGCUGGCGGCGUGGAUAAGACAUGCAAGUCGGACGAGAUUUUUCGUUGUAGCAAUACGAUGGAAAGUCUAGUGGCGAACGGGUGCUUAACACGUGGGCAACCUGCCAUGAAGUGGGGGACAGCUCGCCGAAAGGCGAAUUAAUACCGCAUGUGAUUAGAGAGGACAUCCUUUCGAAAUUAAAGUCGGGGCAACCUGACGCUUCUUGUUGGGCCCGCGGCCUAUCAGCUAGUUGGUGAGGUAACGGCUCACCAAGGCUUUGACGGGUAGCUGGUCUGAGAGGACGACCAGCCACACUGGGACUGAGACACGGCCCAGACACCUACGGGUGGCAGCAGUCGAGAAUUUUUGACAAUGGGGGAAACCCUGAUCGAGCGACGCCGCGUGGAGGAUGAAGGUCUUCGGAUUGUAAACUCCUGUCAUUGGGGAACAAUGCACAGAUAUUAACUGUAUUUGUGUUGAUAGUACCCGAAGAGGAAGAGACGGCUAACUCUGUGCCAGCCGCCGCAGUAACAC